rnacentral:rRNA from 1 species
UAUUGGGCGUAAGAGCUCGUAGGCGGUUUGUCGCGUCUGCCGUGAAAGUCCGGGGCUCAACUCCGGAUCUGCGGUGGGUACGGGCAGACUAGAGUGAUGUAGGGGAGACUGGAAUUCCUGGUGUAGCGGUGAAAUGCGCAGAUAUCAGGAGGAACACCGAUGGCGAAGGCAGGUCUCUGGGCAUUAACUGACGCUGAGGAGCGAAAGCAUGGGGAGCGAACAGGAUUAGAUACCCUGGUAGUCCAUGCCGUAAACGUUGGGCACUAGGUGUGGGGGACAUUCCACGUUUUCCGCGCCGUAGCUAACGCAUUAAGUGCCCCGCCUGGGGAGUACGGCCGCAAGGCUAAAACUCAAAGGAAUUGACGGGGGCCCGCACAAGCGGCGGAGCAUGCGGAUUAAUUCGAUGCAACGCGAAGAACCUUACCAAGGCUUGACAUGAACCGGACCGCUGCAGAAAUGUGGUUUCCCCUUUGGGGCUGGUUUACAGGUGGUGCAUGGUUGUCGUCAGCUCGUGUCGUGAGAUGUUGGGUUAAGUCCCGCAACGAGCGCAACCCUCGUUCUAUGUUGCCAGCACGUGAUGGUGGGGACUCAUAGGAGACUGCCGGGGUCAACUCGGAGGAAGGUGGGGACGACGUCAAAUCAUCAUGCCCCUUAUGUCUUGGGCUUCACGCAUGCUACAAUGGCCGGUACAAAGGGUUGCGAUACUGUGAGGUGGAGCUAAUCCCAAAAAGCCGGUCUCAGUUCGGAUUGGGGUCUGCAACUCGACCCCAUGAAGUCGGAGUCGCUAGUAAUCGCAGAUCAGCAACGCUGCGGUGAAUACGUUCCCGGGCCUUGUACACACCGCCCGUCAAGUCACGAAAGUUGGUAACACCCGAAGCCGGUGGCCUAACCCCUUGUGGGAGGGAGCUGUCGAAGGUGGGACUGGCGAUUGGGAC